CACCAAUGCUGAACAGGAGAUGGUAAUCAUUUCCCAUGACCUGCUAACAAUACUCUUCCUAAUGCAGACCAGAAGGCUGUCAGCUUGCUUUGCUGCAAAGGUGCACUGCUAGCUCACUUUCAACAUUUUAUCCACCAGGACCUUUCUGUUAUAAAACAUAUGAAGAGCUACUUUUCAGCCAGUCAGCCACCAAGGUGUACUGUCACAGUUGCUGACUCCCCAGAUGAAAGACUUUGCACUACCUUCUGUUGAAUUUAAUGACGUUCCCAUUUGUACAUCUCUCCAGCUAGUCAAGGUUCCUCCAGAUAGUAGCACAACCAUCUGGUAUAUCAACCACUCUUCGCAGUUUUACAAUUUGCGAAGUUGUUGAGGGUGCACUCUGUCCCAUUAUCUAGGUCAUUAAUGAUGUUGUUAAACAGUAUCUGCCACAAUAUUUCCCUGGUGGACACCAUUAGUGACUGGCCUCCAGCUGGACUUUAUGCUGUUCACAACCACUUGAACAGAGCAGUUCAGCCAGUUUUCAGUCCAUUGCACUGUCCGCUUUAGCAGUCCAUACCUCAUAAGUUUGUCUAUGAAACUGCUAUAGGAGACUGUGAAAAGCCUUAUUAAACUCAUAAUUGAUAUCUGGUACUCUCCCCUCAUUCACCAAGCUCAUCGUUUUAUUGUUCAGGCCUGUCAGGCAUGAUUUCCCAUUACUAAAUCCAAGCUGACUAUUCACAAUCACAUUCUUGUCCUUUAUGUAUUCAGAAAUGAUUUCCAGAAGUGUUUUCUCCAUCACCUCUCCAGGGAUCAAGAUGAGGAUGAGCAGGAUAGCUCCUUAGAUCCUUCUCCUUGCACUUCUUGGCAACAAGGAUGACAUUUGAUUUCCUUCCAGCCCUCAGGAACCUCCCAUCAUCAGCACCAUUGGAAGAUUAGUGAGUGUCACAUCAUGAUGAUAUUGGCAGCUCCCUCUGCACUCAUGGAUGCAUCUCAUUAGGUCCCAUGGACUUUGUGCCUCCUACCACCUUGACUUGAUUUCCUGCUCACCAGGCUGGACCGUUCUUGAGCUUGAAAACCAACCAGCUGUCCUGGACCCCUCUUCUCUCCAGUCCCGUAGGAUUCUUCCAUGCAGGUCACUGAACAGAACAAAGUCAGCUUUUCUGAAGUAUCCAGAGUUGUGUCUCAUGUAUUUGCCUCACUCCUUGUUUUUCCAAUAGAAAUAAAGAAUCCAUUACAGUCGAU
rnacentral:lncRNA from 1 species